GCCCAUGAACAAGACAAUCCCUAACAAUAAAUCCUUCCGGGCCGAGAAUGAUUCCACACUCGGCCCAAACCAAUAUUUUGGGCCUAAACAAUUAUAUAAACUAAUUAAUUUGAACAUAUAAUAAUGUCAUUUUUCAAAAAGAUGAGAGUUUUAACCUGUUAGGUACAUAAUAAAGAUAUAUGUGGUGUCAUCUUAAAAUAGGGUUAUAAAACCUCAUAAAAAUAAACAUAAAUAUGAUAUUUAAGAGAGAAGCAAAAAAGUAAAAAUAAGAUGAUGGGGACUAUUCAAAAGGGGGAAGACGUGCAGUUGUAAAAAAAGGUAGUGGGACCAUCUUAAGUAAAAUCGUGCAAUUAAAAUGAUGUUGGGAAUAUGGUUGUGUUCUUCCUCGCGCGAGGCCGACCCUGCAACAAAAGAUUUCCAUAUUCCGACGUUUACAUAUAAGCCCGCAUAGCUCCCAUCUAUCUUUGUCCAGACCUGCCCAGUUCCGCCAAAAAAUUAGGGGCCUUAGGCAGGUGCCUACUCCAGCUACCUUCAGGGCCGACUCUAAAUAUGUCAACUGAUCGAUUCCUACAAUUUAGUAAUUCAAUGUAAUUUAUGCCAAAUGAGUUUAGAUAUGUAAAUAUAGGUUUUUUUUCAGAUAUUUUUCUUCCCCAAUUAGUUGUUGUCUACAAUGCAAGCAACAAGAGGUGGCCUUCUAUUCAUUCUUAUCCUCCAUUUCUACAUAUAUGAUCAUAUAGGUACACUUUUGUUUUUGAUAAAGCAUCUCAUCGAUCGGUACACUAAUCCUCUUAUAUUUGUUUUCCUUUUGCUCUACCAAGCAUAUCCAAUGGGUAUUAUUUUCUAGUUUUUGAACAAUAAUAAACCUUUGAUACAAGUUUCAACUAUGCUUUUAAUUUUUGAACAAGAAAAUUGUUACUGCCACUACAGAACAUAAGAGGAAUGCCAGCUAUCUUUCCCAUUUGCCUUUCCUCACUUAUCUUCCCCACUCAAUUUAUGUCAUGUGGAAUCAACUUACACUUACAUUUAUGUAUUAUUGUGUACAGAAUAUUAUUCUUCUCUUUCCCGGUAGGUGCGUUUUUAGAGUCACUUAGUAAUACUGUCUAGUGAUAUUUCUCUUCAUUUGUAACUAAGAGAUCUUAGGUUCAAUCUCGCCAAAAGGCGAAUUUAAACUACAUUAUUGCUAGCUCAUUGUGUGGUUUAGCCCAAUCCUCCAAUGUUUUAGUGUAAAUAAUAUCUUCUAUUAAAAAAAACCCCGUAAUUAAUGUUCCAGAAUUUAACCAAACAAUUAUGACUUCUCUAUUUUAAUUAAUGUUCCAAAUUUUAACCAAAUAAUUCUUAUACCAUCUCGUUUACCUUUAAUCUCCUAUGUUCUUUUUAGGGAAAAUUUAAAAUAGGUCCAAUUUUAUAGGCUUACUUUUGAAAUAGGUCCAAUUUUUAGUGACUUUUGACUUUUGAAAUAUGUCCAAUUUUUAGUUAUUUUUUACCCAUAUCAAAAGACCCCUUGUUUUUAUUGGAGAAUUUUUCUAGAAACAGACAACGCAAGAGAAAAAGACUCCAUCGAGAGCUUAAGAACCAUAACAAGUUAGAAAUGAUUAAAAAGUAAUAUUUUACUCAAAAAUAGAAAUAAUAGUUGUUUGGUAAAAUCUGGAACAUUAAUUAGGGGCAUAUUAGAAAGGAGAAAAAUGAAAUUCUCACAUGUUAAAUACAUAGACAUAAGUGUAAGUUGAUUGCACAUGGCAUAAAUUAAUUAAGGAAGACAAGUGAAGAAAGACAAUAAAAAAAAUAGCUAACAUCUUUAUAUAUAAAGCCAACAAAAUGGAAUAGAUGAGUUGAAGAGUUAGGCUCCAGAGUCCUGUCUAUGACUUUGUACCCUCUCCCUCCUCCAAGAUGCCUAAACCUCAGAAACCCUAUCUGCCAUUGGCCUCUUGCUCUGGCUUGGGGUCGGCGGCAGCCUAGCCCUUCCCUCCUCACCCUCCUUCCUCUUCCCCUUUCGUCCAUCUUUUAUUUCAUCUUUAUCUCCCAUCUUUCCCUGAUUUUUGCCCUUCUUCAUCUUAU
rnacentral:lncRNA from 1 species